GAUUAAGUUAUUAAGGGCGCACGGUGGAUGCCUUGGCACUAGAAGCCGAUGAAGGACGUUACUAACAACGAUAUGCUUUGGGGAGCUGUAAGUAAGCUUUGAUCCAGAGAUUUCCGAAUGGGGAAACCCAGCAUGAGUUAUGUCAUGUUAUCGAUAUGUGAAUACAUAGCAUAUCAGAAGGCACACCCGGAGAACUGAAACAUCUUAGUACCCGGAGGAAGAGAAAGAAAAUUCGAUUCCCUUAGUAGCGGCGAGCGAAACGGGAAGAGCCCAAACCAACAAGCUUGCUUGUUGGGGUUGUAGGACACUCUAUACGGAGUUACAAAGGACGACAUUAGACGAAUCAUCUGGAAAGAUGAAUCAAAGAAGGUAAUAAUCCUGUAGUCGAAAAUGUUGUCUCUCUUGAGUGGAUCCUGAGUACGACGGAGCACGUGAAAUUCCGUCGGAAUCUGGGAGGACCAUCUCCUAAGGCUAAAUACUCUCUAGU
rnacentral:rRNA from 1 species